UACAGAGGGUGCGAGCGUUAAUCGGAAUUACUGGGCGUAAAGCGUGCGUAGACGGUUAUUUAAGUCGGAUGUGAAAGCCCCGGGCUCAACCUGGGAAUUGCAUUCGAGACUGAAUAGCUAGGGUACGGUAGAGGGAAGUGGAAUUUCCGGUGUAGCGGUGAAAUUCGUAGAUAUUCGGAAGAACACCAGUGGCGAAGGCGACUCGCUGGACAAGUAUGACGCUGAGGUGCGAAAGCGUGGGAGCAACAGG
rnacentral:rRNA from 1 species